GGUCUCGUAGCUCAGCUGGUAGAGCGUGUACAAAGCGUAGGCGGCGUCCAGGCAUGGGUUCGAAUCCUACCGAGGCUA
rnacentral:tRNA from 1 species